GGUGCUCUCUCACACACAACUUUGACCGUGACCAGAAGUGGGGAUUCUGCAGUUCACAAGCACGACUCUUUAAUGGGUUUCUUCCUCCGCGUCGCGGGUCGAGUCUCUGUCGGCAGAACCCGUGUUUAAAUGGCGGCGUUUGUGCGACAGCCGCUCAUCUGAACUCAUUUGAUUGUGUUUGUCCUGAUGGAUUCACGGGAGCUCUGUGUGAAAAGAAGAAGUGCUAUGAGCCGCUGCAUCUGAAGUACUAUGACACCGGAGACUCGUGGGGACGGAUCUACCUCCGAUCUGUAGAGCUGUGCACGUGCCUGAGCGGAGGGGUGAGCUGCGAGCGUGCGCGUUACACGGUGUGUUCGAGAA